GGCUGAGGGGAGCGCGGAGCGGGGGUGGAGCGAGUGAGGAGCUCUGCCGUGGGAAUGCUGCGGGAAGUUGCGUUUCAGCGUUUGCCAAGGUGUAUUCGACAUUACCAGCCUAAAAAUGGUAGUCUCCAGGAAGACCAAGGAAGAUGUUGCAGCCAGCAGUGGCCAUCAGAUCCUGGAGGAAGCUGUGGCAGAGGUUAACAGAGGAAAAUGGACCAUGUUAUACAGGUGGCUUAACUUACUGUUGUUAUGCAUACAGCUGUGGAGGAAUGUUGCCUUCAUUCCUCAAGAAUCCUGGCCAAGGAGAAGAGCUGAGAACUGUUAAAUGUGGGGAGAUGUUUCUCGGUCAUGACUUCUGAGGACUUACUGCCUUCCCGGGCUCCCAAGUCCAAGGAUGCCCUCUUACCUUGGCUUUUAUCCUUUCAUGGAAGCCUCUGAAGAAAAACUGGAAACUGCAGUGAUACAUGAACAAUUCGCAGGCAAUGUGAAACUACCUGUAGACACCAAAUGAAGUCAAAGACCAUUUUACUGUCAUACUGGUGUCCUUUUGUGAAGCAUUUAAAAUCAAAAUACUCUGGACACAUAAAGGAAGCAGAUUUACAUCUUCCUAGAAAGAAGAGCAGAAGUGUCCAGUCACUGUUGCCAGGACUAUUCUGCCUUUUUCAGAAGAAAUUCUCAAGGAGCCCAGGUCCCCGAGGGGGAAAUUUUGACCCUGGUGAAGUCAAGGGAACCUUCACUCUCUUUCAUUAACACAAGAGCCAUCCCUCAUCACAUGAAACUGUGAAAUGUGGAAAGGAAAGGAGAAACUGUUUCCUUGCGUAUUGCCAUGAGGCUAAAGAUAAAUUGAAGGUGGCAUAGAGCAGUGAAAGAGCAACAGCCUUUAGAAGCCCUCUCCAAAAGCAGAGUUUGUGAAAUACUUUCCAAACAUCUGCAGGAACAGUGCUACAUCAACCUUCCAGCGGCCUGUUUGAAAAGACUGUCCUUUAAUCUAAACCAUACUCCCUGGGAUUUCUUAAUGUAGUUAAUUCUUCUUUUUUUAUGUUUUUUUAAUAUUGUGCCAGUGAGAAACUGCCUAGUGGUCUUCACCUCUGAGUCCUUUCCACUAAUUCUUAGUCCUGGCACAUUGCUGUACAUUUUCAUUGCACAGGGAUCUCCUCAAACAAAGGAAAAUUAUGAAACUGUCAGGUCGGGUUUCAUGUAUUGCUCUUGGCAUUGCACUCACUAGACCUGGUACACAGUGAGUUUUGAAAGCCUCUGAUCUUUUAUAACCAUUUCCAGUCUUAAACAUACAUUUCAAAGUUCCUCAUCUGCAGUCACUGGGAAUUUGAGUAUGAAAGCUGAGGUAAUUUGGGUAUUUUCUUUCUGUAAAGACAUAGAGGGUGAUCCAUUGUAGCCAUAAAUAAUUUCCAAUGUUUCAUUAUUCUUUCUGUUAUACUUCUGAUUGUUUUAUUAAGACUCUGAAUUUAUUUCUUUCAUUUUUGGUUUUUUUUUUUUUUUCUCUUUCCUGCUAGGGAUAUAUGUUGCUUUAGAACUUAAAAUCAAGGUGCUUAGAUGUGCCUGUGGGAAUGAACUCUGACAGCACGUUCAGAAUGGUGAGCUCUGCUGGGUCUGAUGGUACCAUAAAACAGACACACCAAGGACACAAAGUCCUUUCUCUCCUGCCAAGCUGCUGUGUCAGUCUGGAAGCCUGAUGACCAUGCAUUAGCACCUCAGAUAUUAACCAGCCUGGGGGCUGGGAGAAGUGGGAUUUUUCUUCACUUUGUGUUCCUUCUCACUUCAGAGAAAUCAACCAAACUGAAGAUGUGCUGACCUUUUGAGACUGAACUAGAAGAUCCCUUGACACAAAAUCCUGGAAGUGUAUGUAUUUAUACAGGGAGUCCCUUGGCCAGUUCAAAGGGCCAAACAGGAUUCCUAGAGCUGAAAGCACGGGCCAUGUCAGCUACAAUCUGAAUUAAGUGAAAAUGCUGACUGUGCCAGAGAGCAGGCAGCAAUUCCAUGUUACUUGUGGCACUGUAACUCAGCAGUUGCUUCAGAGGCCAAUCACACACAGCUUCCUUGGGAAAGAGGAGUAAGUUUGCUGGAACAGCUGGUGCAGAGGACAGGUUAUUCAGAUGUCUUUUCUGAAUGCCAACAAAACAAAGGCAUGCUGUCUUUAAUGCUUGUGUUAGAAACAACUUGCAUCCACUUCCAAAUACCCUCCACCUUUCAUCACCCAUAUGAACACUUUAAACAGAGAGCUACUUUGUAAAUCUCUCAAAAACUUCUGAUUGCACUUCUCUUAUCUGUUCAAUUCAUAGCCAAGUCACAGUAGAAUAUCUGUGUACCUUUGUUACAAAUACACCAGACUGUUUGAUUUAUGCUGCCACUGUUUCCAAACCCAUUCCUUAGUAGCCUUUCCAUCCUGACUAGGAGAUGAGUAACCUUCUUAGAAGGAUUAUUUUUAUCCUUUCUGUUUUUCAGUUCCUUUCCAUUUUUCUUGGCCAUCUAUUUGACUGCACAGCCUACUGCUCAGUUCCUUCUGCUUUCCAGAGCUCAGAUGCAAGUCCUUUCUAGUCUCCACAACAAGAGUUGGUCUCCUACCCCAGUGUUUCUUUCAACUGAUCCUGUUAUCAGCUCAUAGCCUGGUAUUUUUCAAUUUCAGGUAGAAUAUUCAGGUGACAUACUGUAUUUCAGUGCAGCUACUUUCAUUAGUGUUUAGAACUUCGUACACAAUCCUGAAAUGGUGAGUAGAGUUUCCUUCACUUACUGUCUUCAUCAUGAUGAGCUCUCCUACCUCUGUUCACUGUUUGGUUUAUUUUAAAUCAGAUUGCUGUUUCUUCUCUCCACUCUGAAAUACCAUUGGUGUAUUGGUGUUAAGUCUUAUAAGUUCAAGAUUUUCUCCAUCCCAAUGGUAUACCAAGUGUAUGGCUGUGUUCAGUUGGGACAUUAUAUAUUGGGAAUAAAUCAGGGAAUAAAUCCUCAUGGGUUCUCUUGAGAAGAGACUCUGAUAGUCUCUUUCUUAUUUAAAAAAAUUCCAAAUUUAGCUAAACUGUUUUUCCUCCACUGGAAAGAUAUUUGUAAUGUCUCUGAGGAAAGGACAUUAAAACAUUUUUCCAUAAUAAGGUUUGUGGAUAAUACUGCAUAUGCUGGUUUUAACAACAAGCAUAAAGAGGCUCUAGGCCAUUGCCUAGAGAAACUCUGCAACUCAUUAGCUAGUUUUAUCUUUCCUUCAAAGAAGGAAAAGCAAAAAUCUGACUGAUAUACCCAUCCAAUGCUCUCUGAAGAAAACCAGCUCUGCAGCCAGACCAUUCCUUCCCUCACAACAAAGCCAAACAAAGAGAAGUCAUGCAUUAAAUUUUUUCAGAGAAGAAAGCCUGUAAUUUAAGUAAGAAAUGUUUUAGAUCUAGAAAAUGGAAUACUUUUUACUUUUGGAAGGAACAAAUUAGAGCACCAAGGAAAGGACAGUGCACAGAAAUAAGGCAAGUUUAUCAGUGAGCGUAGUGUGGAUGAAAAUAGUCAUUAAUUAAUGAAAAUAAAGGGUUUUAGGGGAGGAUUCAGGUGGUUAAUGGAACCCCAUGCUUUGCUGUAAGUGGUGUAGGCAAAAAGCCUGUGGGGUUGGCUCAGAGUAGUUCACCUGGUGACCAAGCACAUCAGGGAAGCUGCUGCACAGCACCAAGGUCAGGAUGGAGAUUAUUGCACCCCUUCACCUUAUCCCCAGGUCAGGCCCUUCUUGAUCCAUUAGCUGUCAUUUGAUUUCCUCCUGUUCUCAGAAGCCCUUGAGGUGAUCUGCAAAGGGCCUCUUGUGCUUCAAAUCCUUCAGCAGGGCUGGAGCUUUAAUCUCCUGACAUUCAGCAAAGCAGGGCAGCCCAAGAGCACUGAGGCAUGGCUGUGGGAUGGCAUGGGCAGCCCUGGGAUCUGAGACUCCACCUCUUACUGUCAGGACUUCUGUCAUGGUAUUGGCUGGUAAAGGCAGAACUUCAACUCCCAGGGAAAUUAGAGUCUCACAAAAUAAUCAGUGAACUGAACUCUGUUUCCUUUUUUAACAUCUUUUGGAAGUGCUCCACCACAGUUUAGGAAAAAGAAUGGGAAGUUACCUGGAAGAAAAGUUGAGCAACAAGGCACAGGGAGACGUGGCCAGCACACCUUGCACUUGAGCUGUUUUCAGCUGGAGCAUGAGCCUCAGGUGUGUGGCAUAAAUUCCAGUGUCCUGCCAGUGUCUUGCUUGACUUUGGGAUUCUCAUAGAAUUCUCUUAAGUGGACAGGGAGAGGAAAAAAAGCUUUUGUUUAAGUAAAAUACUGCUUUGCUUUGGUGUUUUAAGACAUUUUCUCACUGGAGGUGGUCUUUAAUAUGCCUUUAAACUGUAACUCUUGGGAGCUCCUCAUUCCUUGUACCUCUUCCUCUGAGCAGGAAUGUUGGAGCAGAGCACAGCUCAGCACUACACGCUCCAUUAAAGGAGCUUAUAUAGCAUCCUAUCAGUCUAGAGGUCCAGUGGGAACUUUUGGCAGACACAAAAAAUACUUUGGAAAACUGAGGGAAUGCUGAUGACCUGACAGUGAUUUAUAUUAUUGCAUUAGAAAAAUAAAUAGUAUGGUAGGACCUGUCAGGAUGGAUGAAGCAAGGAUUUGCCAGUAACUCUGCUGUGCAGCUUUCCAAACCACUAACCUGCUGGUUAGCCUGGGCCUCUAUUUCAUCCAAACCCUCAUAAAAAUUUAUUGCAGAUGGGUACUAAGAACCUUCAGGAAAAUCCUUUGCUGUUUUAACAGCAUCUCUGCCUUAUGAUGGUCUCACAGUAACUUUUGUUCACCUCCUGUCCAACACGGUUCAAUCAUCUCUUACAAAUGACAGAGAAAAGAAUUUAGCAGCCUAUCUGGGGUAGCCAAGGGAUGAAGUACCAGAAGGCUGUGCAUGAACAAGAGAGACUUAAAUCACACUUGGAAUUGCAGGCACAGCUUCAGGUGCUGUGUGAAGAGCCCAGUUCUCAGCCCAGGUAUUAUUUUGCUCUGAGGGCUGGUGGUAGCUAACUGCCCCAUAGAUCAGAACAGGACAGUUUGGUGUGAUUUGGCUUCUCCUCUGCUGUGUGUUCACCCAUAGAUCAAAAGCACACCUGGGCAGCAGCGUGAUUUGGAGCUGAAGGCUGGAGCAGCGGGGCAGUGCAGUGGCACGCUGGGGACCAGCACUGGCCAUGUGCCAUGUGCUUUUGUUCCCCUCACAGAGCAGAAAGGCGCAGCUCCCUGCUCCAGCUGCGCUCGCCGUGCCGAUAAAUCUCCUGCAGAGGCAAGCCCAGCACAGAUCUGGCCCUGGAGCCGCGCUCUCGUUCCCAUUCAUGUGUUCACAGGCAGCCAGGGAGCUCGGCCAGCGCCAGCCAGGGGCAGCCUGCCCACGGAGCUGAGCAGAGGGAGCCUGCCGGUGCCCCAGGGCUGCAGGGAAGGAACCAGGAGAGCCGGUGAGUGCCUGCACUGGGCUGGGCCCGGCUUGACUCGAGGCCAGCCCAGGCUCAGGGAGGUCAGCCGUGCCCUGUGCAGUGAUGUGCCCGGGAUAGCUUAGAGAGACACGGCCCCAAAGCCCUGGAUCCCUUUGAGCCUGACACAAGCACCUGCCUAUGGUAACACGUAAAGAUGGCCAGUCCAAACCUCACUGGCCUUAAAAGGCCUGCCCAGACUCAGGGUGUGCACCUGAGCAGUUCAUGUGCAGCACCAUGCUCGUGCCUAGCCACGUGUUUAUCAUCAUCUGUCAUCACAGAGCUAGGAGGUAGAGAUUGACAGGGCAAUUUAGUAUGGGAUAACAUGGAAAAUAAACAUGGAAAAAACACGACAAGCAUGCAUAAGUGUUUUGAAAAUUAAUUGCCAUCCCUUAAUGAAUAGCAUGAGAAUAAUUUUUUUUACAAAAAAAUACUGAAAAGUAUAAAAUCUUCUAGUUUAAAAGCAAGCAAUAGGACAAGUGCAAGAGUUAACCAAUUACCUUACUCAGUUAUACGUGUCCUGAAUCAAGAUUCAAUGUGCAGAGACACAUUAGUAUGACUUUAAUAUGAUAACAAUUUUCAUUCAUGAAGAGAUUUUAGAUACAAAGAGAUAAUCUCUUAUCUCAUAAGAGAAUGCUUUUUGUUGUGUUAUUAAGGUAUAAAGGAAAUAAGUUUUACAUGGCCUGUGAAGGGUGUUUUGUGCCUUGCUGGUGACAGUAGGUUAAAGCCCAAGAUAACCACUUCAGACUGGCUGCAUACUUCAGUAUUUUCCCCCUUCACAGUUGUUAAAACUUUAUAGAGCCUCAAAACAUAUCCAGAUGGACAGUAACUGUGACUGCCACUUACGAAACCAGUAUAAUCUAGCACAAUACACAAAGUAGGCUAAGUGGGAAGGAAAACAAGUUCUGAAUAGAGGACCUCCUUGGAACAUUGGAUCAGCCAUCAGACACACCAAUUCUGUUUAGACAGGCCUGUUAUACACACCCAAAUGUUCUGCAAAACAAAGCACACCCCCAUCCUUUCACCACUGCAGCUCCAAAACACUUCUGCCCAAGGGUGGUCUUCACUCUGCUUGAGGCAGUGUUUGUGCCUACAUCUUUAUUCACAAACUGAAGCAUUGGUUUCCAGAGUUUUUUGGCAAAGCUGAGACACAUAAACCAUGUUCUUCCUCUCAAGGAAUAUCAUAUCUUGGCAGUUUUGUUUGGGUUUCACUUUUUCAAAUAUAGAAAAAUUUGAACAAAUGGCACACAGGGGUGGCACACUUAUCACUGUGCUGCCACCAGUAGAUUGCCCUGCACAAUGCUGCUUGUGUGACACCAGGAUAAAUAACAUCACUGUAGCAGAGAACCUGGUCAAGAGAAAACUAUAAUUAUUUGAAGUUGUUCACUUGUGGGAUAAUGUCUGCUAAACAGAGUGUAAAGCAAUAUAUAGUGGCUUUCUGGAUUUUUGUGCUGCACAUAUUUUUUUUGCAUACAGUAUGUGUGUAUCCCAACAGGGUGAUUAGAUAAUGAAGCCAUGAUGUAAGAAAAAAACCCCAAAUCCUGGCAGAUUUAUAGCAACUAAAUCCAUAUCUUCAUUCCUCACUCCUGCUGGCAUGGGUGCCUAAUUUAACUGAAGCCAAUUCCAGCACUGAUUCCUGCCUGUGCACGUGUUGGCAGAGACAGAUCUCAGUGCAGUGGGCAUUCUCAGUCACUUCUUUAUUUGUCACAUUUCACAAAUUCCCAAACAAUUAAAAAAAUUGCUUGGGAAAUGGCAAUUUGAAUGGUAUUUCAUCCCCUCUCCUGCCUUCCUCCCUUUUGUUUCAGUUCCUGGCAGUCCAGUUCCCAGUUCCACUGGUGCAGCUGCUCAGUUACACGCCUGCUGCUCACGGUGAGAGUGUGCUUUGAAAAUGCAUCGGGCCUCCUACCACGUGGGAGAAGUGAUGUGUUUUAGUUUGCUGCUUUGCCGAAAACAUUGUUGGCCAUAUGUCUCAACAGAGCCUGCUUCUCUUUUUCAAGAAAUUGGCCAAGAAAUUUAAUUUGUCUUUUGGUCUUUUUGCAUCAUGACUAGAGAUUGGCAUGUGAAUUAUUUAAUUAAGCUGUGAAUAUUGCUGGGUAUUGCUAAGUUACACAAAUACUGUGUCAUUUAGCUAUUUAUGACUAACAAAACUAACAGUACAAAAAACCAGUUAAAAGCUAAAUAAUAUUGGAGUCUUUUGACCAGCUGUAAUAUAUCCAUACAACACCAUUCUAUUGAAUAAGGAAGCUAUUGUUGAGGUUUUUGUCACAGAAAAAAAAAAAGAAAAAAGAAGAAGAAGAAAAAAAAAAAGUUGUGAUAUUUUUCUUUGGUUUUCUUCAUGUCCAAAAGAAAGCUGCAGCCUCUGGCAUUUCAGCUGGGCUCUGUUCUGUGCCCAGGGUGACGGAGCCACUCGCAGUUGCUCACAUGGAAAUGUGCUGAACAAGAACCACACCAUAAACAAAAGCAUGCCAGGGCUUCAGUGGGCAAAGCACAAGAGCAGAAUAUUAACCACAGAUCCUGCCUAGGUAGAAAUUCCUUUUGCUUGGUCAGAGCACAUAACAAGGUUUCAUGCCUCUCUUUUUGACAUGUGUGGUGCCACAGACUCCCCAGGAACCUUACUUCAUUCUGGAGGAGCAGCUCUUUACUGAUUCAUUGCUGGCUUAUACCUGCAGCACAUCAUUUUCUCUCACAAUGGUCCAUCCAGGAAACUCAGUGCACCUCAAACCACAAGCACUGGCAAUAAUGCUCGUGCAGCCAUUGUGGGAUUUCUUCAUUGUGCUGCAGAUACUAUUUAAAAAUGGAAUAAUCCCUUCAAAUGGCUUCAGCAGUAAUGAGGGACUCGGGUACCUUAGAAAAAGUAGAGUGUAAUUAAACAAUACUGUUGUAAACAUCAGUACAUCCAAAAAGUGAAAGCAGUGAUUUAAAUGUCUGUCUCUUGUUUAUGCCUAGGACUGUAUGUACUUCACAGCUCUUCGUUUUUCAGGCUUACAUCUUUGAAUAGGAGGAGACCACCUAUUAGGUAUAGGCUAAAUGAUAAAAUGCAUUUCCUUCCCCAUUCCUUCUGUCCAAACUCUUGGAGUAGAGGAAAUGUUCCAACACUCCCUUAGUGAAUUAUGGCUGUAUGAGAAAGAGACUUUAUGACUUGGCUCCUCCCUGUAGUUUGUGUCCUAAUUUUUCAAGUCUUGAUUUAAGUUUGACUGGCUUUUUUUAUCCAGAAAUGUCCCAUUUAAGGUCAGCUACCUCCUAAAUUUACCAUGGCGCCAAAAUAACCCAAAGAUGGCUUUCUUAGAUAGACAUCAGCAAUUAAGUGUUCAAAUUUAAAAUGCUUGGUUUUCCUUGUUAUUCUUUUCAGUAAAUUUUCUUCUUGAAUCAAAAAGUAGCAAGAGAUGAAGAACAGUUGGAAGCAUUGAGCUAACCAAGCAUGCUCAACUAAUGAGGAGCCUCUGCUGUUUGUAACACCAUUAAAAGGUAACAUAAGAAAAGCUUUGCUUGACUCAGAGUAUAGGCACAGACCAGUGAAAACAACAAAUUUGUAAAUGCAAGUGCUGUUCUCUAACAGUACUUCUGAGUAAGUAAAGGAUGAAGCUGAAGUCAUAAUUGGUGUCAGUUUUCCAGAUGAAGGAGGAGGAUUCAGUAUUAAUGAAAAGAUUGGUUAGUUUUGUCUCCAUCAUCAAGCUACAAAGAUAAAAAGUUAGGACAGAGAGGAGAGGUUUUCAGGAACCACAGCUACUCAGAUUUCUGUCCUCUCUUUCGCAGACUCUUCCUUUCAGGCCCAUUUGGACAAACAUCAGUCAUCUCCUUUAGUCUGUUUUGGUGAUGUUCUGUGGGCUUCCAGCUUAUUUCUGCAUAACCUGAAAUGUCUGUAUUUGCAUCCCAAGCUGCCCAAAAUGUUCUUUAAUUAUUUCCCAGGAGCUUUCCUUUGUUCUUUGAGGGGGCAGCACUGCAUUGCUACACCCAAGGUCUUGUCAGCAUUCCCUAGAGAUAUCUUAUCUCACAGGAUACUGUAACCCAUUGGACUUAAUUGCAGAGAGCUACAAUUUGUUUCAGAAGACUUCAGAACAGAUGCCAGUUAUUUAAGGUGCUUACACUGAAAUAACUUGUUGCUUUUUCUUUCUUUUAUUUUUCCCUUGGUAAUGUCUUUUUGUCUCUCACUUUUAAUCCUCCUUUGACUUUGAGAAAAGUAUUUUCAUAUUUGUGAGGCCUCUGGAAAUUUUCAGAGCAUUCAGAUUAUGUUCUGAUAAAACUCUGACUUCAUGAGUACAUAUGUAUGAAAAACCUUAUUGAGAUUUAUUAUCUCAUUUUAAAAUUGUCAGGAAUAUCUUCUGCAUUUGUUCAGUCCAAAGGGAUUUUAAAAAAUCACAUCAGAGCAGCUGUGGGUGAGAAAAGUUCAUUCCUUAUCAGUCAUCCAAACUUGCCAAGUCGGUUUUAUGAAAGCAGUGAAAUGAAUGCAGAAACUAAACCCAGCUUGAUAACACUAAGCCAAAAGCAUAACAGGAAAAAGAGCAGUGUUGCUACUUUAGUUUUCCUCCUCUGUAACUGAAAUGGAAGGGAAUGGUCUGGAUCCAAGGCGUGUUAGCAGGGCAGCACUGAAAAGAAAAGGUCAGACACAAAACUCUUUCUUCCAAACUGGAAUGCAGGGAAUUGUCAGCCAGUCCCCAUCCAUGUAGAAUGAGUGUAAAUGUGAUGGUGAGGGGUCUGAUGCUAAUCCUGGCACAAAUGCUGUUCCACAUGAGCCUGGUGUCACCUCAGAGCCUUCUGGCCAUGCUGGGGCUGCCCUGUGUCACUGUCCCGUGGAGCUGGAGCAGCUUCAGCCCUGUCAGAGCACACUGAUCCCCACGAGAACGUGUGCAUCUGGACUGCUGUUCAAGCAGCUCUGCAGCUCCUCGCUGGCAGCCUCAGGGAUAUUUCAGUAGGAUCAACUCCUCUACCUACAGGGCCAUAAAAAGAGAAGAGUUAUCGAGGGGCUGUGAAGUGUUAGGGCAGAGGUGAUGAGCUGCCUGUAUGGCACCUCUGCAGGGUGCCUGACACCAGGGGUCUCGAGGCACUGUUCAGUGCUCUGUGCUCAGCCAAGGUUGCCAAUCCCCAGCUGGAGGCACAUGGCAAUCCACUGCUGCCACACCUGAGGCUGUCAGGGGUUUUGGCUGUUAGCCUCAGUCAUAUUUACCCUAUUCAUGGUAGCUCAGUCUUAGGAAGGACAAGUUCUGCCACCAGUCCUGGUUCCAGGCUGUGAUGUAACAAUCCGCAGUGCCCAAGCAAUGUCUCACCAGUGGGAGGGCACGGACAAAUUCUUUACAGCCAGCUUUUGUAACAGGUGGAUGCACUGGCCUCCCUUCUUGCCAAAGGGUUCCUAGGAACUUGGCUUCCGGGCUGCUGGGAUUUGUCUUGCCCAAACCAUGCAGCACUGAGCUGCUGGGGAGCAGCACCGGUGCCAGUUGGCUGUUUCACCAUCACCCCAGCCCUGCUCCAGGCUCUGCUCACAGCUCCCCUUUGGCACCUCCUCGGGAGAAAAAUCCGGCAGCACCAGCACUGCUCCCCACGAGGAAAUGGCAGGAGGAGAUGGGCAAACACCAUUCUGUCUCUGCUUCACUUCUUUGACUUACUCAGAAAAUGUUUGUACAUUAAAGCAUAUUUCAGUGUUUCUGGAGGUCAAAUGGAAAAUACUGAGUUUGCUCUGUUCAAAUCAAUUAUGUGUAAAAAUAAAUAUAUUUAGAAGAGUUAUUAAAUACUUCAGAAGACAAUUGGACAUAAAAGCUGCAAUUUCUCUGUAGAUUUUUAAGUAAA